rnacentral:rRNA from 1 species
GUUGAACGCUGGCGGCAGGCCUAACACAUGCAAGUCGAGCGGUUGAAGGCAGCUUGCUUCUGGCUUCAGCGGCGGACGGGUGAGUAAUGCCUAGGAAUAAGCCUGCUAGUAGGGGAUAACGUCUGGAAACGGGCGCUAAUACCUCCUACGUCCGUAGGGGGAAAGCGGGGGCUGUUCGGACCUCACGCUAUCAGAUGAGCCUAGGUCGGAUUGCCUAGUUGGUGGGGUGAAGGCCUACCAAGGCGACGAUCCGUAACUGGUCUGAGAGGAUGAGCAGUCAGACCGGAUCUGGGACACGGUCCAGACCCCUACGGGAGGGAGGGCAGGGGUAGGGUGGACAAUGCGCGGAAGGCUACCCCAACCAUGCCGCGUGUGUGAAGAAGGGCUUCGGAUUGGGUAGUACUGCAAGGUGGGAGGAAAAGCAGUAAGUUAAGACCUUGCUGUAGUGACGUUACCAACAGAAUAAGCACCGGCUAACUACGUG